GACGUAGGGGGCCAGCGUUGUUCGGAAUUACUGGGUGUAAAGGGUUCGUAGGCGGUGCGGCAAGUCGGGAGUGAAAUCUCUGGGCUCAACCCAGAGGCUGCUUCCGAAACUGCUGUGCUUGAGUGUGGGAGAGGCGCGUGGAAUUGCAGGUGUAGCGGUGAAAUGCGCAGAUAUCGGGAGGAACACCGGUGGCGAAGGCGGUUCUCUGGGCCUGUACUGACGCUGAGGAGCGAAAGCGUGGGGAGCGAACAGG
rnacentral:rRNA from 1 species